GACGAACGCUGGCGGCGUGCUUAACACAUGCAAGUCGAACGGAAAGGCCCUGCUUUUGUGGGGUGCUCGAGUGGCGAACGGGUGAGUAACACGUGAGUAACCUGCCCUUGACUUUGGGAUAACUUCAGGAAACUGGGGCUAAUACCGGAUAGGAGCUCCUGCUGCAUGGUGGGGGUUGGAAAGUUUCGGCGGUUGGGGAUGGACUCGCGGCUUAUCAGCUUGUUGGUGGGGUAGUGGCUUACCAAGGCUUUGACGGGUAGCCGGCCUGAGAGGGUGACCGGCCACAUUGGGACUGAGAUACGGCCCAGACGCCUACGGGAGGCAGCAGUGGGGAAUAUUGCACAAUGGGCGGAAGCCGGAUGCAGCAACGCCGCGUGCGGGAUGACGGCCUUCGGGUGGUAAACAGCUUUCGCCUGUGACGAAGCGUGAGGGACGGUAAUGGGUAAAGAAGCACCGGCUAACUACGU
rnacentral:rRNA from 1 species